rnacentral:rRNA from 1 species
AUUGAACGCUGGCGGCAGGCCUAACACAUGCAAGUCGAGCGGAUGACGGGAGCUUGCUCCUUGAUUCAGCGGCGGACGGGUGAGUAAUGCCUAGGAAUCUGCCUGGUAGUGGGGGACAGCGUUUCGAAAGGAACGCUAAUACCGCAUACGUCCUACGGGAGAAAGCAGGGGACCUUCGGGCCUUGCGCUAUCAGAUGAGCCUAGGUCGGAUUAGCUAGUUGGUGGGGUAAUGGCUCACCAAGGCGACGAUCCGUAACUGGUCUGAGAGGAUGAUCAGUCACACUGGAACUGAGACACGGUCCAGACUCCUACGGGAGGCAGCAGUGGGGAAUAUUGGACAAUGGGCGAAAGCCUGAUCCAGCCAUGCCGCGUGUGUGAAGAAGGUCUUCGGAUUGUAAAGCACUUUAAGUUGGGAGGAAGGGCAGUAAGUUAAUACCUUGCUGUUUUGACGUUACCGACAGAAUAAGCUCCGGCUAACUCUGUGCCAGCAGCCGCCGCAGUAA